rnacentral:tRNA from 1 species
AAUGAGGUGGCCGAAAUUUGAAGGUAUUAGACUGUAAAUCUAAAGGUGGGCGUAGGGCCCUUUCAUUA